UACGUAGGUGGCAAGCGUUGUUCGGAAUUAUUGGGCGUAAAGGGCGCGUAGGCGGUGUGUCACGUCGGCCGUGAAAACCUGCAGCUUAACUGUGGGCGUGCGGUCGAUACGGGCAUCACUGGAGUUCGGCAGGGGAGACUGGAAUUCCUGGUGUAGCAGUGAAAUGCGUAGAUAUCAGGAGGAACACCGAUGGCGAAGGCAGGUCUCUGGGCUGACACUGACGCUCAUGCACGAAAGCGUGGGGAGCAAACAGG
rnacentral:rRNA from 1 species